rnacentral:rRNA from 1 species
AUGAACGCUGGCGGCGUGCCUAAUCCAUGCAAGUCGAGCGAACAGACGAGGAGCUUGCUCCUCUGACGUUAGCGGCGGACGGGUGAGUAACACGUGGAUAACCUACCUAUAAGACUGGGAUAACUUCGGGAAACCGGAGCUAAUACCGGAUAAUAUGUUGAACCGCAUGGUUCAAUAGUGAAAGACGGUUUUGCUGUCACUUAUAGAUGGAUCCGCGCCGCAUUAGCUAGUUGGUAAGGUAACGGCUUACCAAGGCAACGAUGCGUAGCCGACCUGAGAGGGUGAUCGGCCACACUGGAACUGAGACACGGUCCAGACUCCUACGGGAGGCAGCAGUAGGGAAUCUUCCGCAAUGGGCGAAAGCCUGACGGAGCAACGCCGCGUGAGUGAUGAAGGUCUUCGGAUCGUAAAACUCUGUUAUUAGGGAAGAACAAAUGUGUAAGUAACUAUGCACGUCUUGACGGUACCUAAUCAGAAAGCCACGGCUAACUACGUG